GGCAAAAUUGUAGGAAUGGGGUAUUGCCUAGUAGCUCUGUUCUGGGAAACUGCUAAUAUACUAAAGGAGUACAAUGAAUGUACUCCUCAAUGGCUACUAUUACCUAUAAUUGUGGGUCCUAAGACUGACAUUAAAUUUAAUGAAUUGCACAUCUUUCUCAAUGCUGCGGCCCAUCCAUCAACUGCCCAAAUAUGGAAAACCUCAACAGACUUGGACAUUAACAUUAUGACAUAGAAAUAUGUCGAAAACAGCAACUCUGGGCAAGAUAACCCACCAAGUGAGAACACUAAAAGGACUAAAGACACCUGAUGCAUUUUAUGCCACAAGGCAAAGGUUUGUUCCUUAAACAAAUCAAGGAGGGGUGGACCUUUCUCCAGUUUGCCUCCACAUAUGGGCUUCUAGACACAGAAAUCUGGAAGUCUCCUUACUUUGUUGUUGAUGGUAACUAACUCCCUAUAUAGCACACAAAACAUUUUGAACAUUAAUAUGUGAAAAUUUGGUAUACAUCCUGUGUUUUCUUUUGCUUGUACACCUGGUCCCUGCUUCAUGCUUCUUAUGUUUUGCUAUAGUUUAUCUAUAUAUAAAAGCAAUAAAAAUAUUUUUUCCAAUAAAAAAUGGAAUCCAGUUGCUGUGCAUCUGUGAUAUCAUUUUCCUUUCCCUCUCCCCAUUCAUCUCAAACUAUUUCCAUUUAUCUCCUGUGAUUUGCUUUCCCCACCUCCUUUCAUACCUAACUUCUACCUGAACUGCAAACUGAAGGCUGAAGUUUGGGAUGUGAGAAUCCUGCCUAGUAACGGCAAGCUUCUAUUGUCCCAGACUGGCCAGAAGUACUGCCUAGCAACAGUAGCCCCAACAAGUCCAUUGAUUAACACUGGCCAACAAAGUGCCUUUUAAAUAAAAAUUACAAACACAACUCAUGGGCACGAGUACAACCAACUGACCUAAAACAAUGACCCAUUUCCCCAAAAUGCAUUGGAUUGUAUCCAAUGUUAAACCUACUCAAAGCAGACCCACCAAAAUUAAUGACAUGACUAACUUAGGUUCCUUUAAUUUCCAUACAUCUACUCUUGAGCAGAACCUAGCUAGAUACACCCCAAAAUAAUUGGGUAAAUCCUUCUGGAAAAUCCACCCCAGCAAAGUCUAUGGAAGAAAAAUGCACAAUACAUGUCAUUUAACUAAUUCAAAAUAACCCAUUUCCUCUCUUUUCUACCCCAAGUUCGGCAGAAACCACCUUCAUACUUACUGCUUCCACACUGCUGAUCUGUUGAACCAUCUUCGAACUACCUGACUCCCCUCCUGAUUUCUCACUGUAAUGGUGGGAUGCAAUUCAGUUGACUUCACUUAACCAUGACUAUGGCCCUAUAAUAAAUAGGACCAUAAAAUAAACAUUUCCUAUUAUUUAAUAUAAUUUUAUAAUAUGUUAUAUUUUAUACUGUUACCAAAUAAGUGUUUUCUAUUGGGUAUAAAGACAACUGUUGGGACUGGAGAAAAGCUCUUCUGAAACAGCUUAGGCUGCUGACUUUCUCUGGCCUUGGGCUGUUUGACAAAACCUCUCAUGGUAAGAUGAUGUCCUGUGUGCUGUUGCUUUUAUUGCAGUGAACAUAAGAAGCUCAGCUUCUGUGAGAGCUUUGAGCUGAUGACAGCAUGCAGUUCCCUGGAGAGAUCUUUAAUCUUCCCUAGCAACUGCCUUUGAGAAAGCAGCACUCGGGUUCUUCACUCGCUUUAUCCUUAAAGUAUGUUUGGCUCUGCCUUGAGUGCUUUGCUGAGCACAUGCAUGGGUGCUCAAUUCAUUCACAGAAGCACCAAAGAAAGGGUGAAACGAACUGCUUCGGGCUUUGUCUGCAGUGAGUGUUUUUGGCAAAUCUUCCUCAUUGUGCUAGUGCUGAAAAAUAGCUUCUCUGAUGGAAGCAGCAGUUUAGAUGUCAUACCUUUGUGUGGACCACUUAAUCUGGAUCUACUCCAGCACCACUUUUCUGCGGAGGAAAUGCAGUGUGCAGACUUGGGGGUGGCGGUGGGGACAGAACACACAAUUCCCCUGUCAGCAGUGUGUAUUUUGUAAACAAGGGCUCUGGUUUCUGUCUGACCUUUAUAUUUAAUUCUUACUUCACAACAGUGGUGCAACCUAAUUUAUUGGAGCCACCCCCCCCAAGACAUUUUGCUGCCUGAGCGGCUACGCUGCACCAUCUGAUGACUAGAAGACCCCAGGAUAUCUUGCAACGUCACAGAUGGUGCUAACAUGAAUCUCUUGGAUCUCAAAUGGGGACAUCUGUAAAAUUCUGAGGCAGGAUAUUUUAAAAAGUGGUCCCAGCAUCUUCCUGCAAGGAUCCCACCACCCUCUUUCACCCCUGUGCAUUUUUUGAGUCCAUUGUUCACACUUUAUUUAUUUACGUGCUGCCUACUUGCCAAAGUGGCUUCUAAGCAGUUGUCCGCUGAAUCAGGCAGCGACCCAGAUACUUGACUGUCCCGUCUGAGAAAAAGCAAUGAAUCCAAUAUACAGACAACCAGUUCACAGAGGGUGCCUCCAACUUGCCUUUGAGUUGCUCUUCUGAAAAAGGAGUAUUAUCAUGAUAGAAACAAGAACAAUUCCCUGUGUUUUAAGAUUCUUCGAAGUGGCCCUCUACGUUGACAACAGAAAGGAGGAUGACAAUGUAAGAAGGGAAGAACAAGAGAGAUGGGAGGAGCAAGAUUCCUCUGCGAAUUCCACCCAAAAAAAGGAGUUCUCAACCCCCUUUCAUUUCUUGUGGGAACAGGGAAACUGUCUGGGUCAAGGUGCUAUUCCAAUUACAGGCCUCCAAGUCAGCCCAAGGCUUAAGCAGAUCAUUCCAGAGGAAGGAUAAUAAAUGCUUACUCUGAAAAGAAUCAUAAGCAUUGGAUGUGCAGGAAAUCCCACCCAUUCAUCAGAAUCAAUUUGUCAGAGUUCCCCAC